GCCGAGCUCAAGGAAUCCACACUGUUCAAAGUGACGAAUCUCAUCCAGCAACGAUCGAGUCUCCAAAUUAGAACUCAUUUUUGUUGUUGUAAUCAACGCACUCUGCUUUCUCUCCGGAUAACGCCAGAGAAGCGAAGAUGAAAGGUACGGAAUACAUGUAGAUUGGGGAGUAACUGUAGCGCGAUCUUCGCGGCGAUUGUGGAGGAUCGAGAAGGCGAAUGUGGCAAAGCUGCAUGCAA